AGGCGGGGAGUCACCCCGAAUAAGUGACGAGUCCCUUUGCGAAAUUCGUCGAUAGAGGAAGAAACGUGAGUAUCGUUUCGCUCACCGGCCCCUCACGAUGAAACGCGGCGAUUCUCUUGGAACUUCUUACUUCGGGGAGUAAAGUCGAGACUCUAGGGUGCGCAAAGAGUAUCUUGAGGGCCGACAGAAGGCAUGGAGAAGGACAUCGAGUAGUCUUCUCCGCAGCUUGCACCAAGUAACCAGUAAAGAAACGACGAUCGAUCCCACCGGGCGGCAUCCGCCGCAGUUUUUGUCGAUCGCGUAAUUAACUCUUUCAUCACCUGCCGUCGUACAGCACCGAACCAUCUUCAUAAUCUCUCGAAGAACUUAUCAUUCGUCUCGCGUGAUCAUCGUACGAUGCAAAAGAAUUCAGACACUCAAUUUAAUUCGAUGCUGAAACGAGUGCGCGAAAUCGCGAGCAUUGAACUUAUGAACGAGCGCUGACCAGGCGCGAUCGACGACCGAGGAGACGGAGGAUAAUCGACCACGGUAAGAUAAUUAUCCUAUACAGGAUGAGGAAUCGGGGCUCCCUGAGGAACAUGCUGACCGAACGGUUCCUUGUCCUGGUCGCGCGAUCGACACACAGAGAUCGCUCGAUCGUCCUAUCACCCAUUAUCCAUAUCGACACACACGUAUAGGUGUAAUCGCGUUUUGUAGGCGUUAAGCUCCAUUAAAAGCGUAUAGACAGAUAAGGCGUAUAAAGCACAGUGCUGCCGCGGCUUUAGUGUACAAUAACAUACGAAUCGAGUAUACGUUUUCUAGUCUUCGAUAGAGACCCCCUGAUCGACAUCUCUCUCCUCUCUGUUUGUCCACCCUUAUUCCAAUGCCCCCCUUUUCUUUCCAUUCUCCCCCGCAUUCGCGUCUACGGUUUCGCGCUGGUCCUUUUUUACGACUUUGUAUUUCGAUGAUCAGGAGUACAGGACGCUCGAUUUUCUCGUUAUAUUUCGAUGUAUAACGAUAACCCGGAAGCAUUAUUCCGCGCCGGGCAUUGCGUUAGCUGAUGCGCGCGCUAUUGGCGCCAUAUGUACAUAAGUGUAUAUAUACAUAUGACUAUAUCGAUUGUACCGCCGAUGAAUUUGCCGAUUGUACCAUUUACGACUCUGUAUCGGAUCAAUAAAACGCAACGAAAACGUCCGCACGACGUGA